rnacentral:rRNA from 1 species
AUUGAACGCUGGCGGCAUGCCUUACACAUGCAAGUCGAACGGUAACAGGUCUUCGGAUGCUGACGAGUGGCGAACGGGUGAGUAAUACAUCGGAACGUGCCCGAUCGUGGGGGAUAACGGAGCGAAAGCUUUGCUAAUACCGCAUACGAUCUACGGAUGAAAGCAGGGGACCGCAAGGCCUUGCGCGGACGGAGCGGCCGAUGGCAGAUUAGGUAGUUGGUGGGAUAAAAGCUUACCAAGCCGACGAUCUGUAGCUGGUCUGAGAGGACGACCAGCCACACUGGGCCUGAGACACGGCCCAGACUCCUACGGGAGGCAGCAGUGGGGAAUUUUGGACAAUGGGCGAGCGCCUGAUCCAGCCAUGCCGCGUGCAGGAUGAAGGCCUUCGGGUUGUAAACUGCUUUUGUACGGAACGAAAAGCCUCUUUCUAAUAAAGAGAGGUCAUGACGGUACCGUAAGAAUAAGCACCGGCUAACUACGUGCCAGCCGCCGCCGUAACAC